AUGCUGCACGAGUUAUUCAACUUUAACUUCACCUUAUUUCCUUGGAUUGUAGGUGUUGUCAAAAGGCAAACUAUUUCUGAUAUAGGCAAUGACGAUGAAGUGCCAAUAUUAGGAAGAAAGCGACCUGUCCGAGAGAGGUUAGGAAAUAAUGUGUCUAAUUCUGAUUCGUAUGGAAGUCAACAGAGUAAUAAAAGGUAUAUAUGUUUCAUCUAUAUUACUCAUGGAAAAUUCUGUGGUGAAGUAUGUACCAUUUUCUUAAAUAUUGCAUUAAUGCAUGGGUAUAAACUGAACAUUGUAUAUUGUAACCUAUGGAGGAAAAAAACACCAAAUGCAAAUAGAUGA
rnacentral:rRNA from 1 species